GAUGAACGCUGGCGGCGUGCUUAACACAUGCAAGUCGAACGAAGCACUUUAUUUGAUUUCCUUCGGGACUGAUUAUUUUGUGACUGAGUGGCGGACGGGUGAGUAACGCGUGGGUAACCUGCCUUGUACAGGGGGAUAACAGUUGGAAACGGCUGCUAAUACCGCAUAAGCGCACAGCAUCGCAUGAUGCAGUGUGAAAAACUCCGGCGGUAUAAGAUGGACCCGCGUUGGAUUAGCUAGUUGGUGAGGUAACGGCCCACCAAGGCGACGAUCCAUAGCCGACAUGAGAGGGUGACCGGCCACAUUGGGACUGAGACACGGCCCAAACUCCUACGGGAGGCAGCAGUGGGGAAUAUUGCACAAUGGGCGAAAGCCUGAUGCAGCGACGCCGCGUGAGCGAAGAAGUAUUUCGGUAUGUAAAGCUCUAUCAGCAGGGAAGAUAAUGACGGUACCUGACUAAGAAGCACCGGCUAAAUACGUG
rnacentral:rRNA from 1 species